UAAAUGACUAAGCUGAGCUCAAUGAAGCCAAAACAUGUGCGUCCAGGCUUAAUUGGUUGCACAAAGACCAAGCCAGGAUGAGCAGACACGGAUUCAUUAAACCAGGUGAAACCAAUCCUGGCGGCUCACUCAAAUAGACCCCGCCACAGAUCACAGAUUAACUGAUUUACCAUGGCAACUAGAGCCGCGUACUUUUCCCCGUCGGAAGCACAAAUCCUCAUGGAGGCAUACGAGGAGGUAAAAGAUAUAAUUAAGAAGAAAGGCAACACCGCCACAGUGAUAAAGCAAAGAGAAAAAGCGUGGCAAAGUAUUGCAGACCGCCUGAAUGCAUGGUCUGCAAUGCUGACUGUGUGAUCAGCAAUGUUGUGGCAAAAUGGCCUGGCUCAGUCCAUGACUCCAGAAUCUUUCGGGCCUCUGAAAUCUAUCAGUGCCUAUCACAAGGUGAAUUCUCUGGUGUGUUGCUGGGAGACAGGGGUAUGGCUGCCAGCCUUUUCUCCUGACACCUUUCACAGACCCCCAGGAAGCACAGCAGGCCUACAACCAUGCCCAUGCCAGGACCAGGGCCAGAGUUGAAAUGACCUUUGGCCUCCUGAAGGCACGCUUUCACUGCCUUCACAAAUUAAGGGUCAGCCCUGUUAGGGCAUGUGAUAUUACUGUGGCUUGUGCUGUCCUCCACAAUGUGGCCUGCCUGAGGAAGGAGAGGGCCCCCAGAGUGCCACCAGCCAUGGACUGGGACAAUCCGGCAAUCUUCCCUGAUGACGACAGUGGUCGGCUGCUGAGGGACCAAUAUGUGUUGAAUUAUUUAUGUUAGUAUGUGUGCUUUCAAUUUUGGUUAAAUAUGUCCUGCGGUGGCAGAGGAAUUGUUUUUUUUUGGUUUGUUUUUUUACGAAUUUGGCCUCUUAUGAUGAUUGUGCGGUAUACUGUGUGUAAUACAAGGCUGCAGGGAGGCUACUGCAUCCAUUCAUUUGUCUGUUCAGUUGAUGUGUAUGGAUUUGUCCUGCAUUUAUUUUAGUGUGCAGACAUGCAGGGUGUGUUAUAUACAGACCUUUGAAUGUGUAUGUAUCAUUUUGUAUAAUAUGCUUGGAUUCUGUGCUUUCCAUCUUGUAGAGUCACUGUGACUUCAGUUUCGAAAGGAGCUGAUGGUUUACCUGCUUUGUUUUGUCCUUAUUCAAUAAAGGAACAUAAUGUUACACAUUGUGUUUUUAUAUUCAUAUGGAAUGUGUAUUUGUUUAUAUGACAGUACUAGGGCCACACUGAAGAAAAAGGAUAAAGCCAUACAUU